rnacentral:rRNA from 1 species
AUUGAACGCUGGCGGCAGGCCUAACACAUGCAAGUCGAACGGUAACAGGAAACAGCUUGCUGUUUCGCUGACGAGUGGCGGACGGGUGAGUAAUGUCUGGGAAACUGCCUGAUGGAGGGGGAUAACUACUGGAAACGGUAGCUAAUACCGCAUAACGUCGCAAGACCAAAGAGGGGGACCCUCGGGCCUCUUGCCAUCGGAUGUGCCCAGAUGGGAUUAGCUUGUUGGUGGGGUAACGGCUCACCAAGGCGACGAUCCCUAGCUGGUCUGAGAGGAUGACCAGCUACACUGGAACUGAGACACGGUCCAGACUCCUACGGGAGGCAGCAGUGGGGAAUAUUGCACAAUGGGCGUAAGCCUGAUGCAGCCAUGCCGCGUGUAUGAAGAAGGCCUUCGGGUUGUAAAGUACUUUCAGCGGGGAGGAAGGGAGUAAAGUUAAUACCUUUGCUCAUUGACGUUACCCGCAGAAGAAGCACCGGCUAACUCCGUG